rnacentral:rRNA from 1 species
AGUGAACGCUGGCGGUAGGCCUAACACAUGCAAGUCGAACGGCAGCACAGUAAGAGCUUGCUCUUACGGGUGGCGAGUGGCGGACGGGUGAGGAAUACAUCGGCAUCUACUUUUUCUUGGGGGAUAACGUAGGGAAACAUACGCUAAUACCGCAUAUGACCUACGGGUGAAAUCAGGAGAUCUUCGGACCUUUCCCGAUUCAAUGAGCUGAUGUCGGAUUAGCUAGUUGGCUGGGUAAAGGCCCACCAAGGCAACGAUCCGUAGCUGGUCUGAGAGGAUGAUCAGCCACACUGGAACUGAGACACGGUCCAGACUCCUACGGGAGGCAGCAGUGGGGAAUAUUGCACAAUGGGCGAAAGCCUGAUCCAGCAAUACCGCGUAGGUGAAGAAGGCCUUCGGGUUGUAAAGCCCUUUUGUUAGGAAAGAAAAGAAGCAGGUUAAUACCCCGAUGUUCUGACGGUACCCAAAGAGUAAGCACCGGCUAACUUCGUG